rnacentral:rRNA from 1 species
UACGUAGGUGGCAAGCGUUAUCCGGAUUUAUUGGGUGUAAAGGGAGCGCAGGCGGCACGGCAAGCCUGAUGUGAAAGCCCGCGGCCCAACCGCGGGACUGCAUUGGGAACUACCGGGCUGGAGUGCCGGAGAGGUAGGCGGAAUUCCUAGUGUAGCGGUGAAAUGCGUAGAUAUUAGGAGGAACACCGAUUGCGAAGGCAGCUUACCAAACUAUAUCUGACGUUGAGGCACGAAAGCGUGGGUAGCAAACAGG